AAGUCGUAACAAGGUUUCCGUAGGUGAACCUGCGGAAGGAUCAUUAUUGAAUUUUAAUGAAGGGAAUUUGGUUGUAGCUGGCUCAUAUUAUCUGGGCAUGUGCACACCUUUCUCUUUCAUCCACACACACCUGUGCACCUGUGAGGCAGAUGGGGGAGGAAAUUCACUGAUUGUUCUUGAAGAAUAAUGGGUGUUGGGAAAACCCCCCUCUGUCUACUCAAUCUAUAUAAACCCAAUAUUUUUAAAAAUGAAUGUAAUGGAUGUAACACAUCUAAUACUAAGUUUCAACAACGGAUCUCUUGGCUCUC
rnacentral:misc_RNA from 1 species